UAAAAAUAAAUUAUUAAUUUUAUUUGAUUAAAAAAAAAAUUAUUUAAUAAAAUCAAUUUUAUAAAUAAAAAUUUUAGUAUUGGAUAUAAAAAAAAUAAUUUAAGUGAUAGUUAAUUAGUAUUGUAAAAGAAAAUUGAAAUAUUUGAAAAUAUAUUAAUUUAAAAGUAAAUUUUAAAAUAUUGUACCUUGUGUAUCAGGGUUUAUUAAUUAAAAUAUAAAAAUUAUAUAUUUCCCGAUUUUAAGAGAUCUAAUAAUAUAUUUUAGUUUACGUUUUAUAGUAAUUAAAAAUAUAUUAUUUGUAAUGAAACGUUAUUCGUUCUUAAUUAUAUCUGGUUUUUUGAGAAAUAAAUUUAAUUUAGAUGAUAAAAAAUAUUUAUUUAUUUAUUUAGAUAAAUAGUUUUUAUUAUUAAUAUUUUAAGGGAUAAGCUUUAAAAUAUUCUCUAUAAUUAUUAUUGUAAUUUAAAAUUUAUAGGCUUAGAAAUAGUCAUUAAUUUAAAAAAUGUUAUAAUUUAUUUUAAAUUGAAAAAUAAUUUUUAUUAAUUUAGAUAUUUUAUUAAAAUAUAUUUUAUAAUAAUAUUAAAAUAAUAAUAAUGAUAAAAUUAGUAUAAAUAAAUUGUUAGGUUUUAAUUAAUUUAUUAGGUUAAAUUAAGGAACUCGGCAAAUAAACACUCGCCUGUUUAACAAAAACAUGUCUUUUAGAAAAUAAUUUAAAGUCUAAUCUGCCCACUGAUAUUUUAAAGGGCCGCGGUAUUUUGACCGUGCAAAGGUAGCAUAAUAAUUAGUCUUUUAAUUGAAGGCUAGAAUGAAUGAUUGAACGAGGUGUUGACUGUCUCAAUUUAAAUGAAAUUAUAAUUUAACUUUUGAGUUAAAAGGCUUAAAUAUAAUUAAAGGACGAGAAGACCCUAUAGAGCUUUAUAUUUAUAUUAUAAUUUAUUUAUAGUUAUCUUUAAAUUUUAUUAAAAUAAAUAUUUUGUUGGGGUGACAGGAAAAUUUAUUAAACUCUUUCUAUUUUAUUACAAAAAUUAUUGAAUUAUUGAUCCAGUUUUACUGAUUAUAAGACUAAGUUACCUUAGGGAUAACAGCGUAAUUUUUUUUAAGAGUUCAUAUCGACAAAAAAGAUUGUGACCUCGAUGUUGGAUUAAGGGUUAUUUUUGGGUGUAGAAGUUCAAAGUUUAGGUCUGUUCGACCUUUGAAUCCUUACAUGAUCUGAGUUCAGACCGGCGUAAGCCAGGUCGGUUUCUAUCCUUAAUAAUAAAUAAAUAUUUUAGUACGAAAGGACCAAAUAUUAAGAAUAAUUUCUUUUAAUAUGAUUAUUAUUAAUUUUU
rnacentral:rRNA from 1 species